rnacentral:piRNA from 1 species
UCAGAAGGGCUUACUAGAUAAGGCCACUGA